rnacentral:rRNA from 1 species
AACGAACGCUGGCGGCAUGCCUAACACAUGCAAGUCGAACGAGACCUUCGGGUCUAGUGGCGCACGGGUGCGUAACGCGUGGGAACCUGCCCUUAGGUUCGGAAUAACUCCCCGAAAGGGGUGCUAAUACCGGAUAAUGUCUUCGGCCCAAUGAUUUAUUGCCUUUGGUUGGGCCCGCGUUGGAUUAGCUAGUUGGUAGGGUAAAAGCCUACCAAGGCGACGAUCCAUAGCUGGUCUGAGAGGAUGAUCAGCAACACUGCGACUGAGACACGGCCCAGACUCCUACGGGAGGCAGCAGUGGGGAAUAUGGGACAAUGGGCGAAAGCCUGAUCCAGCAAUGCCGCGUGAGUGAGGAAGGCCUUAGGGUUGUAAAGCUCUUUUACCCGGGAUGAUAAUGACAGUACCGGGAGAAUAAGCACCGGCUAACUCCGU